UCUCCCAAGCUGGUGUGUGCACUCCUCCUUAUGUUUGUAUGCACUUUCUCUCAGUUUGAGAAAGUGCAUACAAGCAUAUGGAGGAGUGUGCACACCAGCUUGGGAGA